rnacentral:rRNA from 1 species
GAUCAUGGCUCAGGAUGAACGCUGGCGGCGUGCAUAACACAUUCAAGUCGAACGGACUUUCCGGAGCUUGCUCCGGGAAGUUAGUGGCGGACGGGUGAGUAACGCGUGAGCAACCUGCCUGUGUGAGCGGAAUAACGUCCGGAAACAGACGCUAAUACCGCAUGACUCACGGACUUCGCAUGGAGACCGUGGCAAAGAUUUAUCGCACACAGAUGGGCUCGCGUCCGAUUAGG